rnacentral:rRNA from 1 species
AUUGAACGCUGGCGGCAUGCUUUACACAUGCAAGUCGAACGGCAGCGCGGGGCAACCUGGCGGCGAGUGGCGAACGGGUGAGUAAUAUAUCGGAACGUACCCAGGAGUGGGGGAUAACGUAGCGAAAGUUACGCUAAUACCGCAUACGAUCUACGGAUGAAAGCAGGGGAUCUUCGGACCUUGUGCUCGUGGAGCGGCCGAUAUCUGAUUAGCUAGUUGGUGAGGUAAUGGCUCACCAAGGCGACGAUCAGUAGCUGGUCUGAGAGGACGACCAGCCACACUGGAACUGAGACACGGUCCAGACUCCUACGGGAGGCAGCAGUGGGGAAUUUUGGACAAUGGGCGCAAGCCUGGUCCAGCAAUGCCGCGUGAGUGAAGAAGGCCUUCGGGUUGUAAAGCUCUUUUGUCAGGGAAGAAACGGUUGGGGCUAAUAUCCCCGGCUAAUGACGGUACCUGAAGAAUAAGCACCGGCUAACUACGUGCCAGCAGCCGCGGUAA